GCUUCCUUGGCUCAGUUGGUAGAGCGUUGGUCUCAUAUAUUAGGUGUGAGUAAUCUUAGAAGGGUUAUCCAAUCCAAAGGUCGCCAGUUCAAGCCUGGCAGGGAGCA